rnacentral:lncRNA from 1 species
AGGAGCAUGAUAACUUUGGGAGAUUGAGAUAGCUUAAGCAGCUUCGACAUGUUUUCACAGAUUCUUUUCGUUUGUCGAGUUUGGUAGCAUGUUAAAUCAAAACAAGCUCACAUAUUUCUCUUUCUACAAAUUGGUUCUACCUGUCGAGACCAUUUUUAAAUCGAGUUUUACGAAAAUGGGAAUCAACUUUAAAAUGAAAACAGGAGUCGCCACCAAUCUUUUUAGGUAUGAUUGGAUCACAUUUAAAACAUUUUGUUUUAAAAUCAUC